GAGAGAGAGAGAGAGAACACGAUCUAAUCAUGUGAACCCGUACAGCUCAGUGUAGCCUUCCUGCGAGACACAAACAGAACUUCAACUCAGUCUUAAAGUAACACCCAACACACGCAGGCUGCUACGCUUACUCUGUCUCUAAGGUAGUGCUGUAGAUCCGAGGUUUCCAAAUGGCUUCAACCACUCAACUGCUGUUCUGGAUGGCUACGCUCCUACUUUUAGGAGAGAGAGCCACCGCGUUUUUAAGUGCCGCCGCCUCAUCUUCAAGAGGCGCCACAUCCUCCUGCAGUUCCAACCAGAUCCGUUGCAACAGAGACGACAAAUGCAUCUCCGUCUCCACCGUUUGCAAUGGGAGACCUGACUGUCCGGACAGGUCUGAUGAGCAUGCGAAACUUUGCGAGCUAUGGACUUUCGACAGAACAUCUUGUGGUGGUUCCUCCGUGUAUUGCAGUGGAUGUCGUAGUUAUGAAGACUUCUGCAACAGAGAUCAGUGCCGGAGAAGUGUGGAUUCCCAAAUGUGUGAGAUGGUGAAACAGAGGCAGCUGGUUAUCGAGGAAGAAUUUAAAGGGAUGACCCUUUCGGAUGAGGCCGUGUCUUUGAUGACUGCUGUGGUGAAUUCAACUCUCGCUCAGAAAUACCCAGAGUGCCCCAUGCUUUACACAAGAGUGGGUGGUAAAUGCUUAGCCUUCUUUUCACUUGCCAAGGUUCCCUGGCCUGAAGCUCGACAGUUUUGCAAAUCCAUUUUUGGCGACCUUCUGACUUUCAAGACCCUACAAGAAUUUGGACAUGUGAUCGACCAUCUAAAGGAAGCUUUGUUAACGACCGAUUUCUGGAUCGGAGGGAGGUACGACAUGGAUGUCAAUGCUUGGGCGUGGGUCAGCGAUGAGACACCUAUGCCUUUGGGAGCUCCCUAUUGGGCUGAGAGGUACAGCAGCUCCUGUGUUCCUCGGUCGCCUCCUCACACAGACCCCUUCAGCAACCCUCCGACUGCUCUUCCUGAAGCCCCAUGUUACAACUACAUUCAGGCACCCAAGCAACGCAAGCAGGGAUGGUGCAGUGCUAUAACCUAUGAGCACUUCUACUUCAUCUCUGAUGACGAAUGCCAAAGCUCCCACAGUCCCCUGUGUCUCCUUGCCCAUGAAACUGAGUGAGUCAAGUCAUAAAGGGAAAACAGCUUCUCACACCAGCAGAUGGUCUUGUGUUACAUUGAUGCAGAUAUGAUUAGUUCAUAUGAUAUACUGUGUGGGUGUGUGUGUGUGUGUGUGAAAUGAGUGGAAUUCCAUUCCUGAAAUAAUUAUAUCAAAUACUUUAGUAGAAGCAUCAUAAAAAGAGUUUUACAAUCUUGAAAUUGAAGCCAUCAACAACCUUAAAUUUCUUAGCAUAAUUUUAGAUGUAAGGAAAGAAUGAAUGGUUCAGUAUUUGUCAUCUUGUCUGUCUUUUACCCCACAAAAGGGCAAUAAAUUGAGGAAAUUAUGCUGAAUGGAGAAUCUCUUUUUUUUCUCUUUCUGAUUCUUAUGCACUGUUUUUUUUCUAUAUCCAUGGCAUAAACUACAAGCUACAUGAAGAAAAGGGAAGAGAGAGUUUAGAAAGAUUGUUGGAAUAUAUAUUUAGUUAAAUAUGUUUACUCUUCUGUUAACAUCAGUGUAUCAUUGUGAGAACUUUAAAAUAUUUAAACAUAAAAAAAAAAGCUUGAUCCUAUCAGACAGUUGUCCUUUGACUAAUUCUCAGUAAUACUACAAAUUCUUUUUUGUAUGGUCUAGUUUUGAUAUUAUUUACUGCUAGAAAACAGAUAUUGUGGGUGAAAAAAAAAAGCCUUGAAAUUAUCCUGAAAAUUAAUGAUCAAUACAUUAUGAAAAGAAGGAAUAAUAUUCAGAUCUGAAUAAUAUCUAGAGAACAAAAUCCUUGACUCCCUACAUUUGCAACCUUUGAAUUAUAAACAAACUAGCUUCUUGUAAAAAUGAACAAGUAAAACAUUACUUCCAUAAUCACAGUAACAUUUGGUGCACUUUUCAAGUUUUCAAUACAAUCUCAAUGUAUUUUUCCGAAUAGUCCGAAUUGCAAUACUGGCCCAUUAGGUUUUAUACCUAAUACCUUGGUCCCUUAUCUUUGGUUAUCUCUGCACCUUAUUGGUCCUUUACCAGCUGUUAUUAAACUUCCUUUCAAACACUUUUUGAGAUGGCAAUAAACAUUAUACAGAAAAAAAUAAUGGUGAGAAAAAAAAGAAAGAAAGAAAAAAUCCUACCACUACAUGGUACACACAUUGACUAUAUACACAACACUUUACAUUUUUAAUGAAACCUAUCUGAAAAAAAUGUAAGUAUAUACUAAGGAAAAAUAACUAAGGAAUAUUAAUUUCAAAAUAAACACUGGAAAUGCCAUUAGACUCCAUUACAAUAUAUAUAUCCAUUUUUGUGUGUGUGUGUAAAGGUUAUGCACAUACAUGUACAGGUCAUGUCAUGAAAUACAUUUUGUGCAUUGUCUUCCAUGAUAACUAACAAUAUGUAUGAACAGUAUGAGCUAUGGAUUAAUAAAUUUGUUGAAUUUAUCAGAUCUGUGGAAUAUUUAUCAAAUGCUUGAUAGAAAUAUUAAAUAAAAUAAUAAAUAUAUAUAGCAAAAAAUAGGCUUCUAACAUCAACAAACAAAAAGCAUACCAGACAUCUAUAUAUAUAUCACAGGAUUCAUCUCUUAAGCAAAUGAAAAUUUUGUAAGAUAUCGAAGCUGCACCUGUCCUUCGUCAUAGACCACGUACUGGCUCUGUAAGAAGCCGCUUGCCUCAAAUUCUUUCUGAGGCACAGGAGGCCCAACGGGUACCACUACCCUUUUGCCAUCAAAUUUCCUCAUCUCGUCAUUCGAUGGAUCUGCCAAUAAAGAAAUGCCGAUAGGUUAUGUAUUUAUUGAUAAAAGUGAUCAUUUUCCCCCCCCUAAGAUUCAUUGCAAGUAAAAUCAUCAAUUAGUCCUUUGAUAAAGUUGAAAGUCAUACCUUCAAUAUUCUGUGUAACACUCUUAAUCAAACGAUAUCUGAUAUGCCUAUUCCAUUAAGUGAUAUUGAUUUUUUUUUAUUUUUUUUAUAUACUGUUAGGUCAAAAAAUCCUUCUGAACAGUAUCAUGAUUUGAGGGUAUGUGCACCCAGAAAUGUUCUCAGUAUAAUUAACUGAAAUUUUGUUUAUGAAAUGGUUUGUUUUUAUCAAAUUUUCAUCCAUAAAAUGAACAGUGAUAAGUAAUGGUAAUGUACUAUAAUCAUAAAACCAUGGUGAGUUAAUGUGAACAUAUUGAUUCACAUGUUACAAAUGAAAGUGUAAACUAACAAAACAUUUUAUAAAAUUUUUAGCCAAUUGGUCUGAGAUUACCUUUGGAUGUGUAUGCACUUGACUACUUUCAUAACAAGGUUACCUUUAAUUAUAUAUAAAUAUUUCCAAUUUUUA